ensembl:lncRNA
GUCCGGGUGGGCUUUCACAGGAGGCGAGUUUUUUGUUCUUGGUGUUUUGGGGCUCCCUCAUGGACUCUUAGCGCGCACGUUUUAAUGCGCGGAUUCCUCCCUGGCUGUUCCUCAUGACCUUGAUCUCCGCGCAGGGCCGCGCGCACAUCGGGUGUUGGGUAUUUUGUCUCAGCAAUGAAAAAAGUAACUAAGACAGGAACCUUCUGCUAUGAUGUUCUGCCUCACCUCAGAUCCCCAGCAAUGGGACCAGCUGACCAUGGACUGAAACUUCUGAAGCCAUGAGCCAAAAAUUAACCUCUGCUCCCUUCAGUUUCAGGUGUCAGGAUCCAAUCCCGUAUACUACAUUGCAUUUAAUUGUUGUGUCAUCCUGGUUUCCUCUGGUUGAAGGGUGGAGAUGAAAGUUCCCAGCCUCUCAUCAAAGCUUGCUUAGUCUUUCUGGCAACCAGCUCCAGUCCUGAAGUUGUCCAGGGGGUCUCAAGCCACCGGUAAUCUCAUUGUCACACAAAAGAUACUAAUCACUCUGGAGACUCUAAGAGUUUUAGGAGUUGUGCACCAGUAAUGAGUGAUAAAGACUAAAUGUUUUUUAAGAAUAACACAGCCAUCAUAAAGAAAUUAAAUGUGCUACAUGGCUCCAAACAAAAGAAAGAUCCCAUCCAUUUUUGAAAGACCUCAUAAUAUCAUACAAUGCUAAAGAAUUUAGGCUCUUCCUGACCUGUGUUUGACUUUUGGGACAGAUCUCAUAGCCACUCUCUGCCUCUUCAGUGAUAUCCUCAAUCCAUGAAAUGGGACAACGUCAAUUUCCCCAGACAGAGGAUCAGUGACCUCAGAUCUCUCAGAGCAUAGGGGCUUCUUGCUGUGCAGUCUUAUUUCAUUUGCUUAUCUGUUCAGUCUUCCAUGGAGUUUAGCUCUGUUGCCAUUUUUUUAUUGUUGUUUCCAGAAACCCCAAUAAGAUGAGGAGAUUACUGUUUGAAACUUACAAUCCCAUCAUUUGUCACCCUAUGAGAGAUAAAAAAU